GAUGAAGAACGUAGCGAAAUGCGAUACGUAAUGUGAAUUGCAGAAUUCAGUGAAUCAUCGAGUCUUUGAACGCACAUUGCGCCCCCUGGUAUUCCGGGGGGCAUGCCUGUCCGAGCGUCAUUGCUGCCCUCAAGCACGGCUUGUGUGUUGGGCCUCCGUCCUCCUCCCGGGGGACGGGCCCGAAAGGCAGCGGCGGCACCGCGUCCGGUCCUCGAGCGUAUGGGGCUUCGUCACCCGCUCUUGUAGGCCCGGCCGGCGCUUGCCGACACAUCAAUCUUUUUUCCAGGUUGACCUCGGAUCAGGUAGGGAUACCCGCUGAACUUAAGUAUAUCAAUAAGCGGAGGA
rnacentral:misc_RNA from 1 species